GGCAGGGACAUCUCGGCCCAGGAAAGAAUGAGGUUUAGGCACGGCCUAACCACCUAAGUGAGGGCAUUGAAGCUGCCGGGGGAAGGGCAAGGUCCGCGUUGCAGAGCCCAAGCCCAGUGGCGCAGGAUUUGUUUUGAUUGGAUGAAAUUGGUGAAGGUAGAUCUUCCUUACUUAAUCUGCGGAUUCAAGUGCUGAUCUCUUCUGGAAACACCUCCACGGACAUAUCCAGAGAUUUUACUUUAGCAGCUAUGGUGAAAAUCACACCUUUCUCCAGGUUAAUGAGACACUUUUCUGAGAAUCUCCUGAUGCUUGAAAGCAUUGCUAUCAAGGGAGUCACUCUUUGCUAUUUUACAGGAGAGAGAAGAAAUAAGAUCUAAAGAUUUAAGAAGUCACUUGACCAGAAGGAAUUGCUUAAAUGCCAGUGUUCAUAAUCAGCAUCCCCCAUGAAGUGGCGCUGAAAGAUCACGUUAGCACAGUUCCAUGAUGUGAAAUACCACAAGUCUGCAAUUUUUUCGGUCUUGAGUGUCGCUGGGCUGAGAGGAUGGAAAUCUUUCAGUAAUUAUACCAGUUUGUAUUCGUCUCACAUUUGGGACCAAAUACAAAUCCGAUCCACUCUUUCUCCCUGUGAAUAUUCAUAAAAAACAAAGUGCCAAUUCUGGUCUAAUCAUGUAUGGAACCAAAUAUGUUGAUGAGUCCUAAGUAUAUACUGUAUGUAUGUAUACAUAUGAAUAUAUAUAUUUGUACACACUAAUUUUGCUUGUGUCCUCCUCUGUGCAAUUUGUUUGUUUAGUAUAGGGGUUGCUGUUAUAAUGUGUUAAUAAGCUGCUGAAAGCUUGGCACCUAUUACUUGAAAUGACAGCUAUGUUAGAAGCCUAUUAACACUCCAUAGCAGCAGCUCUGCAGCUACUAGAAAUGAAUUUCAAAGAAGGUAAAUGAACAAAAGCGAUUCAUAUCUCUAAGGAAAGCAAAUACCAUGCCUAGAACCAUACAUACUUUGGAAAUGUACAGUGUAUAAAAUGAAAAACCCCUUCCAGUUAAAGAAACAGCGGAAGGGAAUAUUUGGAGAAAGGAAGACUGCCUAAAAGAUUUCCAAACAACCUUGAAGACGUAAAUGUAAAGGAUACCAAACAUAACUUCCUCUCUUUGUUUCUAUCGUAUUUAAACCAGAGCCAUGUCAAACUUAUAGGAACAGAGUAUAGUACAGGUAGAGGAAAUACACUUUUCAUGAGCAAAAGUUAAAUCAUCUGGAUUUAGCUCAAACUUUUUCUUUGUUUCUGAGCUUAGAAGGACACCCUUUGCUAUUGUUCUCGGAAGCAGGGCUCUUUAUGAGUCAGCUUGCUCUGCUUUUGAACUACUUUACUUACUUUUGGCUGUCAUUGGAUUUGCAAGAUGGUUGAAAGUCCUUGGUAAACCUUAACCAUGAUAAUAAAAAUGUGGUAAGUUAAGUUCA